rnacentral:rRNA from 1 species
AUUGAACGCUGGCGGCAGGCCUAACACAUGCAAGUCGAGCGGAGCGGCGGACGGGUGAGUAAGGCCUAGGUAUCUGCCUGGCAGUGGGGGAUAACGUCCGGUAACGGGCGCUAAUACCGCAACCUAUUAGAUGAGCCUAGGUCGGAUUAGCUAGCUGGUGGGGGAAAGGCCUACCAAGGCGACGAUCCGUAACUGGUCUGAGAGGAUGAUCAGUCACACUGGAACUGAGACACGGUCCAGACUCCUACGGGAGGCAGCAGUGGGGAAUAUUGGGCAAUGGGCGAAAGCCUGAUCCAGCCAUGCCGCGUGAGUGAAGAAGGUCUUCGGAUUGUAAAGCUCUUUUAGUUGGGAGGCGUUACCAACAGAAAAAGCACCGGCUAACUUCGUGCCAGCAGCCGCGGUAAUAC